rnacentral:lncRNA from 1 species
GUGGCGGGAGGCGGCGGUUGGCGGGAAGGGCCGCGCGGGCCCGGGGGCGGCGCCUCAGAUGCGCUCUUUCCAGAAAGGCAGCACACGCAUGUCUCUGCCGUGGCCCCAGAUCCUCCCCGCGCCGCCGUUUUGAGCGUUCACACUCAUUACCCAGGUCCGUCUGGGAGACCCGCCGGGCUCCCGCCCUCCCGGCCCGCAGCCUCCUGGCCAAAAUCCUCCCGGGACACCCCACCUGGACUGCUGCGAACGGGCCUCCACCCGCCUCCCCGGACCCGCAGCGCCCCCCGCUCCCUCAGGGUUCUGGGGUGAAGGGGUCUGAAUAGCACCAGGGGAGGCGGCAGGGCGGGCCUGUCCUACCUGCGCCCGAGCACUGCUGAGACGACAUCCCUUCCAGCGCCGCCACGUAGUCCAGCCCCAGCCAGCCGCGGUCCUGGAAGCACCGCAGGCAGACGACCUGCUCCUCACUGGGCUCAGGCAGGGUCACCCGCCCAGUGCCGCUAGCUGCAAAUUGCUUUACAUACAGUGACCCAAAGAGCAAGUCAUUUCAGGGCCCCACCACUCUGAUUGGAAGUCAUAAGCUUGACAACUGAUUGGCCUCUGUCACCCAAGCGGGUGUGGGGACACUAGGCCCGCAGGUGCCACUGGAAGAGGCGUUCAGAAGCACUGCGGUGCUCCAGCUCCUGGAUGCAGAUAUCUCCCCACAAACCUAAACAAUUUCGAGAGGGACUUGUGUUCUGCAACCAGUCACAGAAUAUCAGGUGAGCUGGGCGUGUCUUCACUGACCCACCCGCCCAGGGAUGCUGCACUCCUCUCCACCCUGCUCAGAAUCACUAGAAUGACCGUUCUGUGGCUACAGCCCUAAAAGAGCUACUAAAAAGACCAGAAGUAGUAUGAGAACUUAUGAAUACGAAUAUAAAUAAAGGACAUCUGGAGAACAUGCAUGAAUGUCUAUGUAAAGUGUUAAGUACUGAUCAAGGAGGAACGAAGGAGUCAGGUGGCUCUCAGUCUUUUUGGAGGGACUCGCAGAUCCUCCUGAAGAUCUGAUGAAAGCUGUCAGCCUUCUCCCCAGAAAAAUGCACAUCCACCCAGGAUUCUUCUCCCACAUUACUUCAGAGGACUUAGCAACCCCCUAGGGAAGCCCAGGGACCCAGAGUAAAGCACUCCUGGGAUAGAGGGGUUCUGUGGGGAAGAUGACAGGAAGGAACAUGCGUCAGUUCACAAUGUCAAAGUUUAGGAACAGGCCUGGCGAGCCAGCCAGCUCUGCAGUUCUGUGGUGCUGGUGGGUGUGGAGAAGGCAAUUUCAGCAUAAGUCGGGGGAGGGGGAGUGGUUAGAAACCAGUGGCUCCAUUGUGAGACAACCUGGGUUUAAAUUCUAGGUAUAUU